ensembl:lncRNA
CAGAGCAGAGAGCGUGGUGUGCGCGGCAGGAGCAGCUCUGCGUUGAAAACUACAGAAUGAUCAAUAUUUUAUGUACAAACAAACUGAUAAGUGAUUUGUCCUCAACAGUGCCUCAGCUGAGGUUGGAUACUGGAUAAUAAGUCUACAGUGCAUCCACCAAACUGGAGGUUGUUGCCUGAUUAUAUGGGAGCCUGAAGCAGCUACUCUGCCAACACAAGGUCUCGGCACGUUCAACAAUACCAAGAGGCUGUGGCAAGGAUGUAUCUGUUCACAAGUGCUUAUAUCCAUGGUGAAGUUGCAUGAGGUCUAGAGACUACAGUCCCACCUGCAUUACUCUUCGGUGAUGUACGAGUUGGCCCCCGGAGCGUACGCAUAGAUGAACCGCAGUAUGUUCUGGUGCAGCUCAUCCAAGAUCAAGUCUCUCUUGUGCAAACUGUCAAGAUCAGCCACAUCACAGGGAAACACUGCGUCCGGGGGAAGAACCAGUGGAGAAGCCCCUGCAGUGUAAAAUGUCUUUAAAAUUGGAAUUUUAAUGCAUUGAUUAAAGUGAAGUCGAAUUUUACCAUGUUUUAAAAUGACAGAGUUUUCACACAGGAGCACAGCGAUGACAGCAUCUUCCUCUAGUACUUGAGUUCUGAGAGACAGCUUACAGUGGGCUUCUGCUAAGGAAAUCC